rnacentral:rRNA from 1 species
AACGAACGCUGGCGGCAUGCCUUACACAUGCAAGUCGAACGCGAAAGUGUCUUCGGACAUUAGUAGAGUGGCAAACGGGUGAGUAACGCGUGGGAAACUACCUUAUAGUACGGAAUAGCCUUGGGAAACUGGGAUUAAUACCGUAUAUUCUCUCAGGGGGAAAGAUUUAUCGCUAUAAGAUGUGCCCGCGUCAGAUUAGCUAGUUGGUGGGGUAAUAGCCUACCAAGGCAACGAUCUGUAGCUGGUCUGAGAGGACGAUCAGCCACACUGGGACUGAGACACGGCCCAGACUCCUACGGGAGGCAGCAGUGGGGAAUAUUGGACAAUGGACGCAAGUCUGAUCCAGCAAUGCCGCGUGAAUGAUGAAGGCCUUAGGGUUGUAAAGUUCUUUAAGUGGGGAAGAUAAUGACGGUACCCACAGAAUAAGCACCGGCUAACUUCGUGCCAGCCGCCGCGGUAA